AUGAACGCUGGCGGCGUGCCUAAUACAUGCAAGUCGAGGGAACAGACGAGGAGCUUGCUCCUCUGACGUUAGCGGCGGACGGGUGAGUAACACGUGGAUAACCUACCUAUAAGACUGGGAUAACUUCGGGAAACCGGAGCUAAUACCGGAUAAUAUAUUGAACCGCAUGGUUCAAUAGUGAAAGACGGUUUUGCUGUCACUUAUAGAUGGAUCCGCGCCGCAUUAGCUAGUUGGUAAGGUAACGGCUUACCAAGGCAACGAUGCGUAGCCGACCUGAGAGGGUGAUCGGCCACACUGGAACUGAGACACGGUCCAGACUCCUACGGGAGGCAGCAGUAGGGAAUCUUCCGCAAUGGGCGAAAGCCUGACGGAGCAACGCCGCGUGAGUGAUGAAGGUCUUCGGAUCGUAAAACUCUGUUAUUAGGGAAGAACAAAUGUGUAAGUAACUAUGCACGUCUUGACGGUACCUAAUCAGAAAGCCACGGCUAACUACGUG
rnacentral:rRNA from 1 species